GCCUAGUUGAAGAAAGCACACUGCCUUUCGAGAUGCAGUUGGAAAGGCCUGCUCACUUGCAAGCUAUUAUCAGACCAAGGCAAGUGUUCCGGAAGUAGCAACACGGUUUAGGCUCCCACAACAGUUUUGCUUUGGUACUGCACUGCAGUUUAAAUAACGCCCGGCCCAGACUCCCACAUAGAGAAGUCAGUGGAAAAUGCCUAAAAAUACACGUUAGUCAUCACCUUUGGGCGGUGGUGGAAAAAGUACUCAAUUCUCAUAUUUGAGGAAAAGUAAAUAUACCUAAUAAAAAAAUGUUUUUAAAUAUACCUAAGUAUCAAAAGUAAAUGUAGUUGCUAAAAUAUACUUAAGUAUCAAAAGGAAAAGUGUGGAUAAUUAAAAGCAUGAUAGUUUUUUCAAAUUUACGGAUAGCCAGGGUCACACUCCAAUGCUCAGUCAUCAUUUAAAAACAAAACAUUUGUGUUUAGUAAGUCUGCCAGGUCAGAGGCAGUAGGGAUGACUAGGGAUGUUCUCUUGAUAAGUGUGCGAAGUGGACCAUUUUCUGUCUUGCUAAGCUUUGGGCUUCUGAGUGGCGCAGCGAUCUAAGGCACUACAUGUCAGUGCUAGAGGUGUCACUACAGACCCUGGUUCGACUCCAGGCUGUAUCACAACAGGCCGUUGGGAGUCCCAUAGGGCGGAGCACAAUUGGCCCAGCGUUGUCCAGGUUAUGGGUGUGGCCGGGGUAGGCCAUCAUUGUAAAUAAGAAUUUGUUCUUAACUGAGUUGCCUAGUUAAAUAAAACAUCUAAAUAUAAUCUACUUUUGGGUGUCAGGGAAAAUGUAUGAAGUAAAAAGUACAUAAUUUUCUUUAGGAAUAUAGUGAAAGUUGUCAAAUAUAAAGAAGGUACUGAUACCCCAAAAAACUACUUAAGUAGUACUUUAAUGUACACUUAAGUACUUAACAUAACUGCCUUGGUAUAAAACAUUCAUUGUGCGUGUGAUGUUGGUCCAUAUAAACCAGGCCCCCAGUGUCUGGUCUGGAGCGUGAAGUCACGAGCUCUGCUGCUGCAUAGCAACCUAGCGCUGCCAAAAUGCCAGGUCUGUCUGAGGAAGCCUAUGUAAAUUACGAUCUUCAGAACCUCCAAACUAAAACGUUUUAGACGCCCGUUUUGGGCUCUAGAAUGUGUUUAUGGUGAUCAAGUUCCGUCCCCACAGUGAAUUAUUUGAACGUUCGCUACAAAUCCAGAUAUUUAAUUAAAUAGUGACCCAUUCUGAGGACUACAUUUGUCGUCAUACAGGACCGUGCUGACAGACCAAUCACGAUGGGAUUGGUCGAUGAAUCGGUAAGCAUAUAGGAACCGGACGAUAUUAGCUAUAAAUGCCAACAUCUGCAUUGGCCCGAUGUCUAGUUUAACGCCAAUGUGCAAAACCGAUGUCAAAGCUGACGUACAUACCUAUAAUGUAGGUAGAUGACGAAUGGCGCCACGGAGAAUCCAACGCUGCACAUGCAACACAGCAUUCCCAACCUAGCCCACAAUGUCUGCUGUGUGGAUCUAUUUUUCAGUUUAAAAGGAAGAUAACAAAAAGACCACAUGCAACGUUGUUGCUGCUAUUUCCUGAGGAGGUGAGAAAGUGAAAUCUUUCAAUACCACAAAACUAAAAGAGAAAAUUUCAGUGAAACAACUCAAAGGCGAAAUCCAUUAACACCAAGAUAAUGGAAUUCAUUGCCCUUGACUGGUUGAGCACCUCGAGCCCCAGUACACAUUACCAAGUAUGUUGCCCUACCGGAGUUACACAGUAUUGUUGAAACAAACAUCCAUGAGCUACUUGCUAUGGGCGUCACUGCUAUUAGCUUCACGACUGACAUUUGGAUCAGUGAUGUCAGCCCCCAUGAGCAUUAUGAGUCUGACAGCACAGUGGGUCGACAAGGAUUUCAUACUGAGGAAAGCCGUAUUGCUCAUUAAUGUGCUGGUUCUCAUACCGCUGCUGCCAUUUCAAUGGUAUUUGAGAACAUGUUUGAAGCACGAACACUCCUAGCUCCAUUCAGCAACUGACUCAAUAGAAGAGGAGAAAUAAGCUCAACUGCGUUUGCAGCAGACGUGAUACCCUGUCAUGGCAUUGAAAUGCCUGCUCAACAAAAAAACGCCAACACAGACUGUUGGGUUAACUUGGAAAAGUACUAGAGGCUGUGAUCAAGCUAUUCAGUGGCAUUCUCUCUAAGCCUCUUUACUGCUACUUCGAUGCAGACUAGAAACCGGGUUUACGUCAAAUGUUAGACACAGCUGGACAAGAUGGAAAGGGACUCAGUGACAGUGGCCCCCGAGGAGGAAGACCCACGACAGAAGAGGCCACGGACAGACAGUGCUGAAAGCUGCUUGACAUGUAUGAUGAAAUCCUGGUUGAGAAUGAAACAAUUGAACAACGAAACAGCACAGCAAAAUGGGAGAAUUGGGUGGAAAUUAGAUGUCGCUUGUUCAACAAGUGGAUUCAGGGAUCAAGUGGAGCUGGGCCUGGCUUUAAGCUGGAUGCCAAUAGAGGUGAUAAGGAACACCACACACUUCCCUCUUUCAAUAAGGAGUACGUACUCUGUCCGAAAGAGAUCAAUUAUGCCAACAAAGGGUCUCAUGUUCUGCUGCUGGCACAUUGUAGAACAGGUGUCCACAGGCAGAACGUGUAAUGUGCAGUGUAACCCAAAGAUAUUGCUUUUGCUGUGUUGAACUUGACCGUACUGUAACACUUUCGUGUGAGUGAGGGGGGAUUAUUAAAUGUUUUACUCCGUGAAUGUUGCUUUUGCACACAUGUAACCUUGUGCACUUAAUCCAUGUCUACUAUAGUGGCCACAAUAAUAGAGUAUAAAUAGAAUGCCUGUUUGUUUCAUUCUAGUGCAAUAUUUAGUGUGUGUGGUCACAAGUGUUCUAUUAUAAAGGCUGUCAUCUUUCUCUGGAUUUGAGUGUCAUUUGCAGUAAAGUCUAGGCAACAAAUAACAUUGGAUUGUGUUCCUUAAUUUUUUAGCUAGGAGUUUAGUUCACAUUAACCACUUGUUAUUUUACACACUGAGACUGAUCAUGUUCUUUGUUGUUUAGUUAGUACAGUUAACCUGCAUUUCAAGAAGGGAUUCCAGACUAAAAGUCACUAGAAAAUUAAAGCAACAAAAGAGGAUCCCCGUGUUUGCGUGUCGGUGAAAAAAAUAAAAUCACCUUUUUGGGCCCUCAGCCGUUUGCAUCUCUGAAUAUUACAUGCUUCAUAUUCAAAUAUUUCCAUUUGUUCAUUGUAUUCACAGAAAUGUCCUUGUAUUGAUGUGUAAUAUUGUUAUUGUUUCAAUAAAUACUUCCGGCUUCAUGUAACAUCGGGAGUUUUCCAUA